rnacentral:rRNA from 1 species
UAGGGAAUCUUCGGCAAUGGGGGGAACCCUGACCGAGCAACGCCGCGUGAGUGAAGAAGGUUUUCGGAUCGUAAAGCUCUGUUGUUAAGGAAGAACGAGUGUGAGAAUGGAAAGUUCAUACUGUGACGGUACUUAACCAGAAAGGGACGGAUAACUACGUGCCAGCAGCCGCGGUAAUACGUAGGUCCCGAGCGUUGUCCGGAAUUAUUGGGCGUAAAGCGAGCGCAGGCGGUUAGAUAAGUCUGAAGUUAAAGGCAGUGGCUCAACCAUUGUAGGCUUUGGAAACUGUUUAACUUGAGUGCAGAAGGGGAGAGUGGAAUUCCAUGUGUAGCGGUGAAAUGCGUAGAUAUAUGGAGGAACACCGGUGGCGAAAGCGGCUCUCUGGUCUGUAACUGACGCUGAGGCUCGAAAGCGUGGGGAGCGAACAGG